rnacentral:rRNA from 1 species
GACGUAGGGCGCGAGCGUUGUCCGGAUUUAUUGGGCGUAAAGAGCUCGUAGGCGGCUUGUCGCGUCGACUGUGAAAACCCGCGGCUCAACCGUGUGGUCUGCAGUCGAUACGGGCAGGCUAGAGUUCGGUAGGGGAGACUGGAAUUCCUGGUGUAGCGGUGAAAUGCGCAGAUAUCAUUUGGAACGCCAAUGGUGAAAACAGGUAGCUGGGAGUGUGCUGACGCUGAGACACGAAAGCCAGGGGAGCAAACGGG